AUGAACGCUGGCGGCGUGCCUAAUACCUGCAAGUCGAGCGGACGGACGAGAAGCUUGCUUUUCUGAUGUUAGCGGCGGACGGGUGAGUAACACGUGGAUAACCUACCUAUAAGACUGGGAUAACUUCGGGAAACCGGAGCUAAUACCGGAUAAUAUUUUGAACCGCAUGGUUCAAAAGUGAAAGACGGUCUUGCUGUCACUUAUAGAUGGAUCCGCGCUGCAUUAGCUAGUUGGUAAGGUAACGGCUUACCAAGGCAACGAUGCAUAGCCGACCUGAGAGGGUGAUCGGCCACACUGGAACUGAGACACGGUCCAGACUCCUACGGGAGGCAGCAGUAGGGAAUCUUCCGCAAUGGGCGAAAGCCUGACGGAGCAACGCCGCGUGAGUGAUGAAGGUCUUCGGAUCGUAAAACUCUGUUAUUAGGGAAGAACAUAUGUGUAAGUAACUGUGCACAUCUUGACGGUACCUAAUCAGAAAGCCACGGCUAACUGCGUG
rnacentral:rRNA from 1 species